GGGCACCUGGAGGCACGCAUCAUACAGAAGACAAAUGUCCUACAGCUGAGCCACAUGCUGCCAUCUAACUGGAAAGCAGGGCUGGUGCUCAGUCCUACAAAGCCAGGAACAGCUCAGGCAUGUCUGAAGAAGACAGAGGAUGAAUACAAUCUGUUUCUGUAACACCUACACUUCUGCACCACACAAUGCAUGUUACAGGGAGGCUCUUGAUCCGGGAGAAACUGAGUCACUUGCUGGGAGAAUAGCAAUGCAAGUGACAUGGAAACCCAGACAGACACAGACAGAGAUCAAAGAGAGGAGCAGCUGGAUACCUGACACAAGCCAACACUUCUGAGCAGGGCAGUUUCUGAUCUUCUGAGUCAAUACGCCAGGGGAAAUGAGAGCUGAACAGUGACAAAGGAAGGAACUUCUCUAACCUCCCUGAAACAUCCCUCCCUCAUCCCUCAUUCAUAUCUCACUGAUCAAGGCCUCUGAACCAUAAAUCACCAUGCACCAGACUAAAGGUUUUCCUGCUCUGGAAAUGCUGAUGCCUCUGUUCAGCCUUGUAGAUCAAAACACUGUUCUUGAAAGCCAGCUUAGCAUACCUGGCUGCUACAAAGUGCACAUCAUUGAAUGACUUUGUGUUCCCAGGUACAGGGCAAGAAAAAUGCCAGGGUAAGUACUGGGUACACUCUGGGGGAAAAAAAAAAUCAAUAUAUAAAAUAAAAAUUAUUUUUUUGUACAGAAUUUAAUUUUCUUUGCUGUUUUCCUCCACAACAUCUUAGAGACAAAGAAAAGGGGUGAAACUGCCUGGAGAAUGCCAAGUCAAGGGCUGGCAGUUGAGAUCACUCCUUCUGAAGAAGCUCUGAUGUCUCCUCACUGUUUUGGCACAUUUACCUCCAUGUUUUCAGGAAAAUUCCAUGUCAGCAUAGCACCACGCUCACAAAAUGCUAAGUAAAUAGUGGUGGAAGGCAGAUAAAGUAAUUUACAUUAAAAAACAGCUUUACCUCAUCGUGCUGGAGUGUCUGUUGUGACUGAAGAAAGAG
ensembl:lncRNA